ensembl:lncRNA
CUCUCAAGUUCAACCUUUAACCAUAACCUAAAACGGUAACCGUAGUGAAAGGUAGUGGCAGAUAGAGCUGCUUUACUGUGUUUUAAUUUUCCCAAGAAUGGUGAAGGACUCAAGCUAGUAAAGAAAGACCCCUUUCUGAAGAGCAGGACUCAGAAGUUCCAACCAGGUGGACUCUCAAUGUCUUGCAAGCGACACCUAGAAGCAGGUACAGGCAGGAGGCACAGCACCCUGCAACCUCCAGGGGCCUUUGUGCAAAUGUUCAUGUCCUAGAAGCACGUGGCGGAGCACGUCCUGGGAUCAAGGUGCCAUGGACUGGAAAAUGCAGCUCUGGACAUACAGGCUUGGCGGAGUUCCUGUGUGAAGACAAAACUCCCAGUACUCCAGAAACGUGGAGGCAGAAGAGCAGUGACAAGGUAUCUGUAUGUCUGUCAGUAU